rnacentral:tRNA from 6 species
GGAGACGUCGCAUAGUCCGGCCGAGUGCACCACCCUGCUAAGGUGGAGUCCCCGUUUAGGGGACCGAGGGUUCAAAUCCCUCCGUCUCCG